CACGCUGUAAACGAUGCGCACUAGGUAUGGGAAGUCUGACGCUUUUCGUUGCCGAAGCAAAAGACGUUAAGUGCGCCGCCUGGGGAGUACGGCCGCAAGGCUAAAACUCAAAGGAAUUGACGGGGCUCACACAAGCGGUGGAGCAUGUGGAUUAAUUCGAAGCAACGCGAAGCACCCUACCUGGGUUUGACAUGCACGGAUGCCCUUCCCGAAAGGGGAGUAAGCUGCCUUCGGGUGAAACGUGCACGGGUGCUGCAUGGCUGUCGUCAGCUCGUGCUGUGAAGUGUCGGGUUAAGUCCCUUAACGAGCGAAACCCCUGUCGUUAGUUGCCAGCGGUUCGGCCGGGAACUCUAACGAGACCGCCGGUGUUAAACCG
rnacentral:rRNA from 1 species